GACGAACGAUGGCGGCGUGCUUAACACAUGCAAGUCGAACGGAAAGGCCCUGCUUGCAGGGUACUCGAGUGGCGAACGGGUGAGUAACACGUGAGUGAUCUGCAACGCACUUCGGGAUAAGCCUGGGCAACUGGGUCUAAUACCGGAUAGGAGCCAUUUUUAGUGUGAUGGUUGGAAAGUUUUUUCGGUGUAGGUUGAGCUUGCGGCCUAUCAGCUCGUUGGUGGGGUUAUGGCCUACCAAGGCGGCGACGGGUAGCCGGCCUGCGCGGGGGGUCGGCCACAUUGGGGCUGAGUUCCGGCCCAGGCUCCGACGGGAGGCAGCAGUGGGGAAUAUUGCACAAGGGGCGCAGGCCUGAUGCAGCGGCGCCGCGUCGGGGAUGACGGCCUUCGGGUUGUAGACUCCUUUCGCUAGGGACGAUGCUUUUUGUGACGGUACCUAGAUAAGAAGCACCGGCUAACUACGUG
rnacentral:rRNA from 1 species